rnacentral:rRNA from 1 species
GCCUAACACAUGCAAGUCGAACGGUGAGACUCGGAGCUUGCUCCGAGUCGAUCAGUGGCGAACGGGUGAGUAACACGUGAGUAACCUGCCCCAGACUCUGGGAUAACCCCGGGAAACCGGAGCUAAUACCGGAUACGACACGAAGAGGCAUCUCUAUCGUGUGGAAAGUUCUUCGGUCUGGGAUGGACUCGCGGCCUAUCAGCUUGUUGGUGAGGUAACGGCUCACCAAGGCGACGACGGGUAGCCGGCCUGAGAGGGCGACCGGCCACACUGGGACUGAGACACGGCCCAGACUCCUACGGGAGGCAGCAGUGGGGAAUAUUGCACAAUGGGCGAAAGCCUGAUGCAGCGACGCCGCGUGAGGGAUGACGGCCUUCGGGUUGUAAACCUCUUUCAGCAGGGAAGAAGCGAAAGUGACGGUACCUGCAGAAGAAGCACCGGCUAACUACGUGCCAGCAGCCGCGGUAAUACGUAGGGUGCGAGCGUUGUCCGGAAUUAUUGGGCGUAAAGAGCUUGUAGGCGGUUUGUCGCGUCUGCUGUGAAAAUCCGGGGCUCAACUCCGGACUUGCAGUGGGUACGGGCAGACUAGAGUAUGGUAGGGGAGACCGGAAUUCCUGGUGUAGCGGUGAAAUGCGCAGAUAUCAGGAGGAACACCGAUGGCGAAGGCAGGUCUCUGGGCCAUAACUGACGCUGAGAAGCGAAAGCAUGGGGAGCGAACAGGAUUAGAUACCCUGGUAGUCCAUGCCGUAAACGUUGGGCGCUAGGUGUGGGACUCAUUCCACGAGUUCCGUGCCGCAGCUAACGCAUUAAGCGCCCCGCCUGGGGAGUACGGCCGCAAGGCUAAAACUCAAAGGAAUUGACGGGGGCCCGCACAAGCGGCGGAGCAUGCGGAUUAAUUCGAUGCAACGCGAAGAACCUUACCAAGGCUUGACAUAUAUCGGAAACAUCUAGAGAUAGGUGCCCCGCAAGGCCGGUAUACAGGUGGUGCAUGGUUGUCGUCAGCUCGUGUCGUGAGAUGUUGGGUUAAGUCCCGCAACGAGCGCAACCCUCGUUCUAUGUUGCCAGCGCGUUAUGGCGGGGACUCAUAGGAGACUGCCGGGGUCAACUCGGAGGAAGGUGGGGAUGACGUCAAAUCAUCAUGCCCCUUAUGUCUUGGGCUUCACGCAUGCUACAAUGGCCGGUACAGAGGGCUGCGAAACCGCGAGGUGGAGCGAAUCCCAAAAAACCGGUCUCAGUUCGGAUUGGGGUCUGCAACUCGACCCCAUGAAGUCGGAGUCGCUAGUAAUCGCAGAUCAGCAACGCUGCGGUGAAUACGUUCCCGGGCCUUGCACACACCGCCCGUCAC